UACCCAAUCCUGACACAGGGAGGUAGUGACAAGAAAUAACAAUACGGGGCUUGAAGUCUUGUAAUUGGAAUGAUGGGAAUUUAAACCCCUUCCAGAGUAUCAAUUGGAGGGCAAGUCUGGUGCCAGCAGCCGCGGUAAUUCCAGCUCCAAUAGCGUAUAUUAAACUUGUUGCAGUUAAAAAGCUCGUAGUUGAAUUUCUGCUGUUUCGUUGACUGCGUUUGGCGUUUGUCAUCGUUGCGGCUUGGUUGGGUUUCGAUUAUUCGUUUCCCGGCGUUUACUUUGAGAAAAUUAGAGUGCUUGAAGCAGGCUUUUGCCUUGAAUACUUUAGCAUGGAAUAACGGAGUAGGACUUUGGUUCUAUUUUGUUGGUUUUAGGAGCCAGAGUAAUGGUUAAUAGGAACAGUUGGGGGCAUUCGGUAUUUAA
rnacentral:rRNA from 1 species